GGGCAGGUGGCCGAGUGGUCUAAGGCGUCACGUUUAGGAAACUACUCCGUGAUGGGUUCGCCCUCGCGCGUUCGAAUCGCGUCCUGCUCA
rfam:Punctularia strigosozonata HHB-11173 SS5 unplaced genomic scaffold PTNSTscaffold_3, whole genome shotgun sequence.